CACCCAGACUCCUACGGGAGGCAGCAGUGGGGAAUAUUGCACAAUGGGGGGAACCCUGAUGCAGCGACGCCGCGUGGGUGAAGGAGUAUUUCGGUAUGUAAAGCCCUAUCAGCAGGGAAGAACAAUGACGGUACCUGACUAAGAAGCACCGGCUAAAUACGUGCCAGCAGCCGCGGUAAUACGUAUGGUGCAAGCGUUAUCCGGAUUUACUGGGUGUAAAGGGGGCGCAGACGGCGAUGCAAGCCAGGAGUGAAAGCCCGGGGCCCAACCCCGGGACUGCUCUUGGAACUGCGUGGCUGGAGUGCAGGAGGGGCAGGCGGAAUUCCUGGUGUAGCGGUGAAAUGCGUAGAUAUCAGGGGGAACACCGGUGGCGAAGGCGGCCUGCCGGACUGCAACUGACGCUGAGGCGCGAAAGCGUGGGGAGCAAACAGGAUUAGAUACCCCAGUA
rnacentral:rRNA from 1 species